rnacentral:misc_RNA from 1 species
AGUGAAAACUGGGUUGUCUACCACUACUUUAAUCUUAGAGCACACAGAUAUGAGAUGUCAGUCAUUGAAAUUUUUGACCAGUCUCGAGCUGACAACAAAGAUGUUUGGAAGCUUGUUCUGGGAAAGCAUAAUCUCACUUCUCCCAUUUCUUCCUAUUCUCGACUAGAGGUCAUAACAAAGUCACAGUCAUACUUUUUUACCCAUUCUGUCAAAGCAAUAGCUGUUACGUCUACGGCCAAGGGUAUAACUUCAAAGCAGUUGCUUAUUGGUACAGUUGGUGAUCAGGUUUUGGCACUGGAUAAGCGUUUCUUGGAUCCCCGUCGAUCAAUUAAUCCCACACAAGCAGAGAAAGAGGAAGGAAUGAUACCUCUUACAGAUUCAUUGCCAAUAAUUCCUCAGUCGUAUGUUACACAUAGCCUUAAAGUGGAGGGUCUCCGAGGCAUUGUAACAGUGCCUGCUAAGCUUGAAUCAACCGCGCUGGUCUUUGUGUAUGGUGUGGAUCUCUUUUUCACUCGGCUUGCGCCCUCGAGGACCUAUGAUUCACUUACUGAGGAUUUUAGCUACGCAUUGUUGCUAAUGACAAUUGUUGCACUUGUCGUUGCAAUCUUUGUCACGUGGAUUUUGUCAGAGAAGAAAGAGCUACGAGACAAGUGGAGGUGAAUUUAGUUCUCUAAUCUCUGUGCAACAAUUUAUUUUCCUCUCUUCAGAUUAAAGCAAAACGUCAUCUUGACUUCAACUGAUUUUGUAGUGCGCCUUCUUUUAGCUGCAAUUUUUUGCGUCAUUAUUACAUUAGGAAAUGUUAACAUCUUGUAUUGAAAUUUAGAUGUCCCAAGGAAAUUGUUCCU